UACGGAGGGUGCGAGCGUUGUUCGGAAUCACUUGGCGUAAAGCGCGUGUAGGCGGCCCACUAAGUCUGAUGUGAAAGCCCGGGGCUCACCCCCGGAAGUGCAUUGGAAACUGGUGGACUCGAGUCCCGGAGAGGAGAGUGGAAUUCCUGGUGUAGCGGUGAAAUGCGUAGAUAUCAGGAGGAACACCGGUGGCGAAGGCGGCUCUCUGGACGGUGACUGACGCUGAGACGCGAAAGCGUGGGGAGCAAACAGG
rnacentral:rRNA from 1 species